GAUGAAGAACGUAGCGAAAUGCGAUAAGUAGUGUGAAUUGCAGAAUUCAGUGAAUCAUCGAAUCUUUGAACGCACAUUGCGCCCCUUGGUAUCCCGAGGGGCAUGCCUGUUCGAGCGUCAUUUCACCACUCAAGCCUGGCUUGGUGUUGGGCGACGUCCUCUUUGGGGACGCGCCUCGAAACGCUCGGCGGCGUGGCACCGGCUUUAAGCGUAGCAGAAUCUUUCGCUUUGGAAGUCGGGGCCCCGUCUGCCGGAAGACCUGCUCGCAAGGUUGACCUCGGAUCAGGCAGGGAUACCCGCUGAGCUUAAGCAUAUCAAUAAGCGGAGGA
rnacentral:misc_RNA from 1 species